rnacentral:rRNA from 1 species
GACGAACGCUGGCGGCGUGCCUAAUACAUGCAAGUCGAACGCAGUGGGGACGGGUGAUUAACACGUGGGUAACCUCCCAUCAGAGGGGAUAACACUUGGAAACAGGUGCUAAACCGAUACUGAUGGAUGGACUUGCGGUGCAUUAGCUAUUUGGUGAGGUAACGGCUCACCAAGGCCACGAUGCAUAGCAGACCGGAGAGGGGGAUCGGCUACGCUGGGACUGAGACACGGCCCAGACUCCUACGAGAGGCGGCAGUAGGGAGUCUUCGGCGAUGGACGAAGGUCUGACCGAGAAACGCCGCGUGAGUGAAAAAGGUUUUCGGAUCGUAAGGCUCUGUUGUUAGGGAAGCGGUAUCUAACCAGAAAGCCACGGCUAACUACGUGCCAGCAGCCGCGGUAAUAC